rnacentral:rRNA from 1 species
CCUACGGGAGGCAGCAGUGGGGGAUAUUGCACCAUGGGGGGAACCCUGAUGCAGCGACGCCGCGUGGGUGAAGGAGCGUUUCGGCGCGUAAAGCCCUAUCGGCAGGGACGAAGGCGGACGGUACCUGACUAAGACGCCCCGGCUAACUACGUGCCAGCAGCCGCGGUAAUAGGUAGGGGGCAAGCGUUAUCCGGAUUUACUGGGUUUAAAGGGGGGGUAGACGGCAGCGCAAGCCAGGAGUGAACGCCCGGGGCACAACCCCUGGACUGCUCUUGGAACUGCGCGGCUGGAGUGCAGGAGGGGCAGGCGGAAUGCCUGGUGUAGCGGGGAAAUGCGUAGAUAUCAGGAGGAACACCGGUGGCGAAGGCGGCCUGCUGGACGGCGACUGACGUUGAGGCCCGAAAGCGUGGGGAGCAAACAGGAGUAGAUACCCCUGUAGUC